UGACUUUCAGAAUAUGCUGAGAUUUGAUUAUAAUUUAUGGUCUGGAUAUAAGGGGAGUGGAGCAUGAGAAAAGUAACACUAUUGCAAGAUAACUACAUCAGACAAGAUCUUCAAACAGGGAGGAACUUUCUCCUGGAAAGAAAUUUGGGCUGUCUACUUUGAGAGUUCUCGCAGACAAAGCUUCACAAGCCCCUUCAGAUCUUCCGUCAUGGACAACUUGCACUCCUCUCCCAUUGGUUACUUCAGAUGUCCAAUUACUUUGCUUGGCUUCCUUCUUCACAGAUGCACAGAUU